AUUGAACGCUGGCGGCAGGCCUAACACAUGCAAGUCGAACGGUAACAGGAAGCAGCUUGCUGCUUCGCUGACGAGUGGCGGACGGGUGAGUAAUGUCUGGGAAACUGCCUGAUGGAGGGGGAUAACUACUGGAAACGGUAGCUAAUACCGCAUAACGUCGCAAGACCAAAGAGGGGGACCUUAGGGCCUCUUGCCAUCGGAUGUGCCCAGAUGGGAUUAGCUAGUAGGUGGGGUAACGGCUCACCUAGGCGACGAUCCCUAGCUGGUCUGAGAGGAUGACCAGCCACACUGGAACUGAGACACGGUCCAGACUCCUACGGGAGGCAGCAGUGGGGAAUAUUGCACAGUGGGCGCAAGCCUGAUGCAGCCAUGCCGCGUGUAUGAAGAAGGCCUUCGGGUUGUAAAGUACUUUCAGCGGGGAGGAAGGGAGUAAAGUUAAUACCUUUGCUCAUUGACGUUACCCGCAGAAGAAGCACCGGCUAACUCCGUG
rnacentral:rRNA from 1 species